AGGUCCUGCCUGCCCAGUGACACACUGUUCACGGCCGCGGUAUUUUGACCGUGCGAAGGUAGCGUAAUCACUUGUCUUUUAAAUGAAGACCUGUAUGAAUGGCAAGACGAGGGCUUAGCUGUCUCCUUGUUUCAAGUCAAUGAAAUUGAUCUCCCCGUGCAGAAGCGGGGGUAACUACAUAAGACGAGAAGACCCUAUGGAGCUUUAGAUAAUGAAACAGACCACGUCAAAGCAACCCUAAACAAAGGACUGAAACUAACUGGCUCCUGUUUUUAUGUCUUCGGUUGGGGCGACCAUGGGGAAAUAAAAAACCUCCACGUGGAAUAGGAGCAUUCAACCCUUUUUCUCUAACCCUCCUCCCAGAACUAAGUAGCGUACAGCUCUAACUAACAGAACUUCUGACCAAACAUGAUCCGGCAAUGCCGAUCAACGAAUCAAGUUACCCUAUGGAUAACAGCGCAAUCCCCUUUUAGAGCCCAUAUCGACAAGGGGGUUUACGACCUCGAUGUUGGAUCAGGACAUCCUAAUGGUGCAGCCGCUAUUAAGGGUUC
rnacentral:rRNA from 1 species